rnacentral:tRNA from 1 species
GAUGAGGUGGCUGAGCGUGGUAAAGCAACAGUUUGCUAAACUGUCGAGGUUACAGAUCUCGCACGGGUUCAAAUCCUGUUCUCAUCG